rnacentral:lncRNA from 10 species
UUUAGUAGAGAUGGGGUUUCACCGUGGUCUCAAUCUCCUGACCUCGUGAUCCACCCACCUCGGCCUCCCAAAGUGCUGGGAUUACAGGCGUAAGCCACUGUGCUGGCCCUCUAUUAUUUAAAUCGCUUUGUUGACAGUAUGACUGACUGACAUACAAAAAGCUGUAAAUGAUGUAUACAGGCUGAUGUUUUUGGAGAUAGUGUUUUGUUUUGUUUUGAGACAAGGUCUUGCUUUGUCCUCCUUGGCUGGGGUGCAGUGGCUUAACAAUCCUCUCACCUCAGCCUCCUGACUAACUGGGACGACAGGUGCGCACCAUCACGCCUGGUUAAUUUUUUGUAAAGAUGGGGUUUUACCAUGUUGCUCAGGCUGGUCUUGAACUCCUGGGCUCAAG